CUUAACCUUGGAUCAGCAGUGGAAACUGAGAAGCUAGAGUGCGGUAGGGGUAGAGGGAAUUCCCAGUGUAGCGGUGAAAUGCGUAGAGAUUGGGAAGAACACCGGUGGCGAAAGCGCUCUACUGGACCGCAACUGACACUCACAGGACGAAAGCUAGGGGAGCGAAAGGGAUUAGAUACCCCUGUAGUCCUAGCCGUAAACGAUGGAUACUAGGCGUGGCUUGUAUCGACCCGAGCUGUGCCGAAGCUAACGCGUUAAGUAUCCCGCCUGGGGAGUACGCACGCAAGUGUGAAACUCAAAGGAAUUGACGGGGGCCCGCACAAGCGGUGGAGUAUGUGGUUUAAUUCGAUGCAACGCGAAGAACCUUACCAGGGCUUGACAUCCGGCGAAUCUGCUUGAAAGAGGAGAGUGCCUUCGGGAGCGC
rnacentral:rRNA from 1 species